rnacentral:tRNA from 2 species
GGGGACGUGGUCUAGCGGUAGGAUACCGGCCUCCAGAGCCGUCGACGAGCGUUCGAAUCGCUCCGUCCCCA